AGCUGUUGUGGGACUACAACUCCCAUCACCCCUGACCACUGCUCCUGCUAGCUAGGGAUGAUGGGAGUUGUAGUACCACAACAGCU